CUUAUAGAGAAGACACAGGGAUUGCCUCAGUAACGGCGAGUGAAGCGGCAAGAGCUCAAAUUUGAAAUCUGGCGCAAGCCCGAGUUGUAAUUUGAAGAGGAUGCCUCGGUUGCGGUCACGGCCCAAGUCUCUUGGAACAGAGCGUCUUGGAGGGUGAGAAUCCCGUACGGCUGUCGUCCGGCACCAUGUGUGGCUCCUUCGAAGAGUCGAGUUGUUUGGGAAUGCAGCUCAAAACGGGUGGUAGAUUCCAUCUAAAGCUAAAUAUUGGCGAGAGACCGAUAGCGCACAAGUAGAGUGAUCGAAAGAUGAAAAGCACUUUGAAAAGAGAGUUAAACAGUACGUGAAAUUGUUGAAAGGGAAGCGCUUGCGAUCAGACUCGCCCGCGGUUGAUCAACGUUCCUUCUGGGUCGUGCACUCUUCCGCUGGCGGGCCAGCAUCGGUCAGGACGGCGGGACAAAGGCGCCGGGAAUGUGGCUCCUCGGAGUGUUAUAGCCCGGCGUGCAAUGCCGCCUGCCCUGACCGAGGUCCGCGCUUCGGCUAGGAUGCUGGCUUAAUGGUCGUAAGCGACCCGUCUUGAAACACGGACCAAGGAGUCUAACAUCUAUGCGAGUUUUUGGGUGUAAAACCCACGAGCGCAAUGAAAGUGAACGGAGGUGGGAGCCUUUUGGUGCACCAUCGACCGAUCCUGAUGUUCUCGGAUGGAUUUGAGUAUGAGCAUAGCUGUUGGGACCCGAAAGAUGGUGAACUAUGCCUGAAUAGGGUGAAGCCAGAGGAAACUCUGGUGGAGGCUCGCAGCGGUUCUGACGUGCAAAUCGAUCGUCAAAUUUGGGUAUAGGGGCGAAAGACUAAUCGAACCAUCUAGUAGCUGGUUCCUGCCGAGUCUCCCCCCCCCGAGAGAUAACAAA
rnacentral:rRNA from 1 species